UUUUUCUUGCCAAAGUUGGAUUCAUUGAGCUACACGUCCACGCCUCAAUCACUCAGAACAAGUUGAUUGCUGGAUGGUAACUUCGUUAUAGCUAAACCAUUUUUAUUAGAUUAACUAAAUUGGAUUCCAUUAAUCUUAUUUGUAUAUGUUCCCUUGACUGCAUAAUUAGCAGUUCCGUUUUCGAAUUAAACAACUGGUCCUUUGGUUUGGCAGUGUUUAUCUCUUUUGAUGAUUCUUUUACACUACUGUUUCUGUUAGAUACUAAUUGAGUUUCAGCUUUGAUUUAUUAACAUGCAUGUCCAUUCUAAUAGACAUUCAUUUCAGGUUUGGACCUUUCUUGGUGGAUGUGUCUCCUUACUUCAUCUCUUUUACUUUCAACUUUGUCGCAACCAUAGAGGAUUCUUAAUUUGAUUCUUCUGGUAUGUAUGUGGUUGCAGCACCCUGUUUGAAAUAUAAUAUAUCAUGUUCUCUGCACCGUCGCUGAUUUUCAAUAGUAACAAUUUCGUACUCCUCCAGCACCAUAUUUCAUUAGGAUAAUGUUAUUGCUUCUUGAGGUUUAUUUAUAGACAUGGGAUGUUCUCAAAGUUUAAUCUUAAUAUAGGUUCAUACGGACUCGGUCGGACAAAGCAAUUUCAUUUGAGCAGAAAUGAUACUAAAUCACCUGUCAGUUAAUCCUUUCAUGUAGGAGAACCAUUAUACUAAUCAGAAGAUGCAUGCGUUCUGGCAUCCACUAAGGGUGACCCCUUUUUUAGUUUUGUCACAUAAUGUUAGUUACUCACCUUAGAGAACCCCCUUUUUUAUCUUCUAUAAGGUUGCCUGCUACUGCUAGCGUAUGCAAGUAAAAGCAGCUAUUUGCACCAUCAUUCAUUGCUUCAAACUUCUGUUGAUCAAUUCACACCCAAAAAAACGCUUACUUGACUGGCUACUAUCAAAUCAAAAUUUUAUAAAACGGACAAUCUAGCACUCAUAUGUCAUAUGACAAUUGCAAAUCUCUCACAGUCUAUCGAAGGGAAAAAGGUGUACAUGUUUUUUAGCUUUUACCUUUAUAAAUGUAUAAGUAUCAUGUACUUAUCUACUUGCUUCCUCAACGCCCCCCUUUAUUAUCCUCUCUAACCUAUUACUAUAUAGUGCAGUGUCAAAUAAUAUAGUUCACACUAUUAGAUAAUUAAGAAAAUAUCUGAGUGACCAAAGCAUUGUUCACCCAGUAGGUUGCAAUACACUCUAUGCAUACUUACGCUUUUGUAACAUUGUUGUUCUCGAAUUCUCAAUACCAGUUUGGCAUUUCAUUCUUUCAUUUAUAAGAAAAUCCUUAACGUCAACUAAGUGUCCCGCAACAACGCACGGGGUAUCAUCUAGUUCAUUCAGUUUGACUGUGCGUAAACACUAUAGUGUACAACUAUCAACUUGUUUCACUAUUCAGUUUGUCAUCCAUUCAGCUUACUUACUGGGGCAUAUUUCUUGUGAGAGUUUACUUGAUAGUACAAUAUGUCAGAAGAAACUACCAUUUCUCCGGAAUGAAUCAUUGAUUGCUCUUUAUACACUUACAACUCGGUUUCUUUCAUAUAAGUUCUGAUGCCUUUCUUUAGGUCGAGCUACUGCCCUGUUAAUUAUUGUAACAAACUUUAUCAUUUGCCAGUUUGCACUGUGUUGAGAACUGACCAAUAAGUUUUGUUUGCCAAUUAGCUUUCUGUGUGCAUGCUCUUAAUCCCCAUAUUACUAAUUUCUGAAUCAAACAUUAUUAUUUCUGUCCUCAACAAGUCGCAGCGCUAUGUUCUGUUUUUUGUUUAGUUAGCUCUGUCAAAUAUAAUCAACCUGCCUAUGUUCCAUUUUGCUAUUUGUACUUAGGUAGAAAAAGCUAAAAUCUGUACAUGUAAUGCUGAAGCUAUAUUGGUUGCUUGUUUCUUAAUUUUUUCUUCUAUAAUGAUGAUCUGAAAUGCCACGCAGGUCAUUAUUGGUGGUGCUACUGCUGUUGUUGUGGUUGUUGGAGGUGUUGCUGUUGCAUCUGGCGGAGCUGCCGUUGGGGCCCCAAAAGGUAACCUUCAUCAGCCACAACCCCACAACAAUGGCUCAAGGUUCUGUGCCCUAUCACCCCUCUUUCUAAAUUACUGAAAUGAACCAAGAUCUCAUAUAUUUAGGAACGGAGGUAGUAGUAAGGUUAAAAUAGAAAAGCAAGGGAUGUUUCUAAUUUGGUUAUGCUAGAAUAAUGCAUCAACUCGUGGCAUUCUUGGAUGUUACUCUAAGGUGUCAAAAUGAUAGUAAAACCUAGGCUCUUGCAUGGUUCUUGAAUUAAUUUUUCUAUUUUAUGGCUAACAAAUAUUGCCUAUGUUGAGACUCUAAACAUGUGGAUUUUCCUCUCAUUUAUAGGAAUUCUACCUGAAGAAAUUCGGAGAAAACUUGAAGCCCCAGUUAGCGACUUGCUUUAUAUGUUAUUGACUUGUCAUGCUAAAUUUGUUGAGAAUUUUGAUAUACUAUUGCACAUGUUACUCGAAUGCUGGUAGUUAUGUACAUAUACUCACAAUAUUAUCCGUUGUUUACUUGAAAUGCAUUCUUGGGCUGAAAGUGGCUGAAAAAGUAUAUGCUGUGUUGAUUCUGCGUUGAUUGUGUAUGUCUAUUCUACAAAAGAAGAGGCACGGUCCAAAUGGAAUUAGUACUGAAAUGUCUAUUUGACCUAAUCUAUUUGGGCUUUGAAAAG
rnacentral:lncRNA from 1 species